rnacentral:rRNA from 1 species
UACGUAGGGUCCGAGCGUUGUCCGGAAUUACUGGGCGUAAAGAGCUCGUAGGUGGUUUGUCGCGUUGUUCGUGAAAACUCACAGCUCAACUGUGGGCGUGCGGGCGAUACGGGCAGACUAGAGUACUGCAGGCGAGACUGGAAUUCCUGGUGUAGCGGUGGAAUGCGCAGAUAUCAGGAGGAACACCGGUGGCGAAGGCGGGUCUCUGGGCAGUAACUGACGCUGAGGAGCGAAAGCGUGGGGAGCGAACAGG